UGAUAACUUUGACAAAUGACAAGCUACUCAAGCUCUAGCUAUCUAAUUACUUAUUGUUGAGUCCAUGAUGAUAUUCGCGAUAUUUUUGCCGUGAUAUGCAAAUGCAAACAAAAACAAGAAGAAAGGGAAAACAGAGUGUCUAGAAGUGGUGUCCAAAUUUGUAGGAAAAUUCGACGUUUCUGAAGAAAAACAAGUUCUUUUAGAAAAUCUUGGGAUGCUGAAAGACUUGCUGAUUGAAAAGAUUUGCUCAGUCAAAACAAGUAUUUAGAGGAAAUAUCGUCAAUGACUGAUAUCAGUUUUUCUACAUUGAAAAGAAUAAAUAUUGAGAGAAAAGCUAACCAUGAUAUCUUCUGUACUCCAGGGAAGAAAAGAUCAGACAAGCCCACAAGAUAGAGCUAAUCUGGAGCUCAGCAAAGAGAAGAGUCACAAGCAUAAAUUUUGGCAUACCAGCAGCUGACCUUGAAAAUUCAAGAAGCUUUUGACAGCAUAACACCAGAGCUUUGGAAGAAAAUGACUGAUCAUGUGCUCAAUAUUGAAGCUCAGUGUAAAACCAGAAACAGAAUAACGGAAGAACUAGAAUCGUUUAUUUUAAGUGUGUUUAAUGAUGAUGACUCUGACAGUAGUUCAGAGUCAAUGGAAGCUGGAAGCUCCUAAUAAAGUACAAAACCUUGUUAAUUUUAAAUUAAAGGAAAAAUGGAAAAAUUCACAUUUAAAUUCACGUAUCAUUUGCAGAUGUUUCUGCAUGAUAAAAAAUAACUUCUUAAUUUUACUUCAACUUUUCCUCCCACAACUAGGCUCAUUCACUACAGAGAGUACUCCACUCUCGGUCAAUCGGUCAAAUGAACUAGUUGGUCUUUUAGUUCCUUUAGAUCAGUGGUUAUUGGGAGUCAGGGAUGAUAAUAGGUCUGAUACAUUUCAUUCCAGUCUCCUUUUACACAUGAUAUUUCUCCAAUCUUUGGUAAUUGAAUAUAAUUCCAAGUUGUAGUACCUACCUAUAAUAUUAUCCAAGUUUAUUGUAUAUAGAAAAUAUUUCAUUUUCCCGCAUAGAUUUAGACCUUAAACAUUCCUUUCAUCUCUUUCUCACUUGUGCCAAUGGCAUUUUUUACUGUUUCGUUCCGUCUGUUAUCACUUCACUCAGUCAAGCGCUCUGCGAUCCCACUGAACUAUAGGACCUAAUAAGGACCGAUUAAGACCGUGCAAAAAGAUUUAGUUCCUAUCGGUCCUUUAUGGGAUUUCAUUCCUAACAGUACUUAGUUCAUGACCGCCACAAGCCUACAACGUAUCAGCAUUGCGAUACAACGAGGAAAUGUCUCCUGCAUUCCUUGGUACAAUGCCUAAAUGGCGUAGCUAUUGUAGAUUAGGCUAGUUCUUAAUUUCAUUUCAUUAUGAUUUUAUUUAUUAUUGUAGAGAAAUAAAUGAUUAUGACAUUUUA